ACACUCUUCAAGGUGCUGCAUGGUUGUCGUCAGCUCGUGCCGUGAGGUGUCGGGUUAAGUCCCAUAACGAGCGCAACCCUUACUGUUAGUUGCCAGCGGGUCAAGCCGGGAACUCUAACGGGACUGCACCGUAAGGUGAGAGGAAGGUGGGGAUGACGUCAAAUCAGCACGGCCCUUAUGUCCAGGGCUACACACGUGUUACAAUGGUCGGUACAAAGGGCAGCUACACCGCGAGGUGAUGCUAAUCUCUAAAAGCCGGUCUCAGUUCGGAUCGAAGUCUGCAACCCGACUUCGUGAAGUUGGAUUCGCUAGUAAUCGCGCAUCAGCCAUGGCGCGGUCGAAUACGUUCCCGGGCCUU
rnacentral:rRNA from 1 species